rnacentral:rRNA from 2 species
AUGCUGUCGAGCGAGAGUUUACAAGCUUGCGUUUCUUUUAGCGACGGACGGAUGAGUUCACGUGGGCAACCUGCCUGUAAAACUGGGAUAACUUCGGGAAACCGGAGCUAAUACCGGAUAAUCCUUUUCCUCUCAUGAAGAAAAGCUGAAAGACGGUUUACGCUGUCACUUAUUAAUGGGGCCGCGGCGCAUUAUUUACUUGGUGAGGUAACGGCUCACCAAGGCGACGAUGCUUAGCCGACCUGAUAGGGUGAUCGGCCACACUGGGACUGAUACACGGCCCUCACUCCUACGGGAGGCAGCAGUAGGGAAUCUUCCGCAAUGGAGGAAAGUCUGAUGGAGCAAGCCGCGUGAGUGAUGAAGGUUUUCGGAUCGAUCAAACUCUGUUGGUAGGAAAGAACAACAACGAUAGUAACUGCUUGUACCAUGACGGUACCUACCUGAAAAAGCCACGGCGAACUACUAGCCGCCAGCCGCGGUGAUACGUAGGUGGGUGGCA